rnacentral:rRNA from 3 species
GAUUUCUGGCUUGAUGCGCCUGACCCACCUCGGUUACGAGCGUGAGUGUCGGUGCGCGUCUGCCAUCCUUCUAGAAAACCAUCUCGCCCUUUACUGGGUUGGGGUGGCGAUCUAGAUCUAUUACUUUGAAAAAAUUAGAGUGUUUAAAGCAGGCAUUUUGCAAUGAAUAUAUUAGCAUGGAAUAAUAAUUUAGGACUUUGGUUCUAUUUUGUUGGUUUCUAGGACUGAAGUAAUGAUUGAUAGGGAUAGUUGGGGGUGCUAGUAUUCAGUGGCCAGAGGUGAAAUUCUUGGAUUCACUGAAGACUAACUUAUGCGAAAGCAUU